GAAGAACGCGGGGGGCGUGCUUAACACAUGCAAGUCGAACGGAAAGGCCUGCUUUCCCUUGUGGAUUGCGGGUACUCGAGUGGCGAACGGGUGAGUAACACGUGAGUGAUCUGCCCCCAACUUGGGUAUAAGCCUGGGAAACUGGGUCUAAUUCCCGAUAGGACUGCAGGGUGGUGCCUGUGGUGGAAAACGAUUUUCUAGUGGUUGGGGAUGAGCUCGCGGCCUAUCAGCUUGUUGGUGGGGUAAUGGCCUACCAAGGCGGCGACGGGUAGCCGGCCUGAGAGGGUGGACGGCCACAUUGGGACUGAGAUACGGCCCAGACUCCUACGGGAGGCAGCAGUGGGGAAUAUUGCACAAUGGGCGGAAGCCUGAUGCAGCGACGCCGCGUGGGGGAUGACGGCCUUCGGGUUGUAAACUCCUUUCGACCGCGAGGAAGCCACCUGGUUGGAAGGGUGGUGACGGUAGUGGUAGAAGAAGCACCGGCUAACUACGU
rnacentral:rRNA from 1 species